rnacentral:lncRNA from 1 species
AGAAGAGGCGGAGCCUAUCUCUCAUCAGGACCAGUCUGACUGCACCUGCAUCCUUAGCUCAGAGCAUCCCUGGAGCAUCUAAGAGGAAAGCGCAGCUAGCAACCAGGGAUCGUACUGCAGGGGCAAUCGGUCAUGCACCUUCCCCUCCCCUGAUCUGGAGGUCUACAGCCGCGGCCUCGGUACUGACCGAGAUUCCCAAAGUUGUCUGACCUCUGCAAAAGUGUUUCUAUCAACAGCCUCUGAUUACAACAUGGCUGAGAUCACAAAUAUACGCCCCAGCUUUGAUAAAAAAACAUUACACUUUGGUUAUUCGCUCUGGAUGCCAGUGAGAUGUCUCAAUAGACAAACCUGCCCCUGAGCCUGCUGAUGGCCUGAACUUACUUCCUGGGACCCACAUGGUAGAGGGAGAAACAACAGCCAAAGCUGUCCGGUGUACUAUGGUAAGUACUUUACCAAUGAGCUACAUGCCCGGUCUCCUUGAAUGUAUAGAAGACAGAGAGAAUAAAUUACAAAUCUCCUGUGCCCUAAGAAUCACAGCAAACACAUUAAAGACUCGAGUCUUUCACUGCCAAUCUCAACCUGGACUUGACACAGUCAUCUCCUACCAGUCUUCUUGGCGGUUUUAUGAGGGCUGCAGUCAAUGCUGACUUGGGUGAAGUCUUCAAUGAGCCGCAUAGCUCCCAUCCAGUUACAAGGCUGGAAUAAGGUCUGGAACCUGGGGUUGAACUGCUGGUGAAGGGCAAUGGAAUUCUCAGCAAAGGUGCCCAGCUCUUUCUGGGAAGAAAGGACACAAAGGAGUUCUCAGGCCACGAACAUGAAGUUCUCUCAAGGUCGUAGCAAACAGACGGUCCUAUGGCCCACGGUUCCAACAGGAAGUAGGACAGCCACCUCUGACUUUACCACACUGCUCACUUCUGGCUUCAGUGCUAAGCCAAGAAAUAAUGCAAAUACAGACAAAGAGAGAAGCCUUGCCUGCUGCAUCUGCUGCUGAAGCCUGCUCCUCUGUGCUGGGUCGAGGACCAGAGUCUGAUGGGCUGCCUCCUCCUGCGGUUUCAGCUUCUCCACCUCAGGCUGCUGUCUGACUGAGGGUUUCUUCAUCUUCAGCUGCUCCAGCAGCUCCUUCACUGUCCGGUGCCGCUCAUUUAGUAAGUUGGCCAACGGCUCCUCAAACCUGUUCCCAACAAGGAUAGAACAUGCAUUUUCUCCUAGGUCCACAAAACAGCAAAUUCCUUGUAACAACAAAACAUGAACAUCUGUUUUACUUUGAUCAUGAUGGCUCACUAUUCUUGACCCUUAAGCAAAUAUUUCCCUUGACUGUUAGCACUGUAUUCAAAUAAAAGAAGUCUGGUGUUAGAGGAUAGUUUGAGCUCAUAUCUAGAAUGCUUGAAGCCCUGGGUCAAUCUCCAACUAUUCCAAAGAAUAUUCUGAAAUGUUUUCCACCUUACUGUAACACAAUUACUUCUCUGUAUAAAACACACAGAGAAAAGAAAUGAAAUGAAAAUCUAGAAGCAGAGAAACAACAGUGUAGUACAAUGCCACAGGCUAGUGGGACUUCAUCAUCCUUGCAUUGUACUAACACAUACUACUUUAUGAGUUCUUCCAAAUUGAAGGGACUCUAGCUAGCUCCAGUGUGACAAGCAUGGCUCCGGCAGGCCUUGCCCCUCUCUCCCAUUCCUUCCAGCUUGCUAACAACCAUUAGAGCUAGCCAGCAAGGUUGAUUCCUUUACUUGGCUACUUCCUCCUCUUGAGGCUGACAAAGUAUUUAAGUCCAGCAAUCAAAAAGUUCCCUUUAGGUCACCUAAUUAAGAUGCCCACUUAAAAUUAAAACACCUCAUCCUAACACAGGCUUUUCCCUUGUACCUUUAUAAACCACAACUUGCCUAUGGACCCUGUCUGUCUCCUCUCAAUUCAGAGGCAGUCCUUUGUCUUCUGGGAGAAAGACUCCUCCCACUUUUCCCCUGUACCCUUCCCCUUCUCAGCUAUCCUCUAUCUCCUGUCUUUGACCUUUAUCCCUGCUCUCUGUCUCUCUGGGGCAAAUAAAUCUCCUUUGUGCUGAGAACUUUGUCUUGGCGGUCCUUGGCUGACACUCUUCCUAACACCAACAGAACAAAGUAUAUUCCAAAAGUAUAGCACUUGGUCUCUCAGUGCCCUGCUAAGCCAGCCCUCUUCAUUCAUUUCUUUAAAAAACUCAAAGCCAUGAAUGAGGAUGCACUAGAAUGGAGAACACUUGUUUUGUAAGUAUUAGUUCUGGGUUUUAUUGUCAGCAUCAGAAACAAACAAAACAAAAAUAACAAAUAAGUCUAGCAAGACCUUUCAACAAUGUAACAAGAAAGAAAUACACUAAAAUCUAACAGCUCAGAUGAAGAGAGAUGAGUUGUUAGUUCAAACAUUACUAUACAACCACCAUGAAAAUAACUUUUUUUUUUUGGGUUUUUUCUGAGACAGGGUUUCUCUGUGUAUCCCUGGCUGUUCUGGAACUCACUUCAGCCAUUCAAAUUCCUUUCUCAUGCUUCCUGACCGUACCAGAACACCCUGACCAUAACUGCUCCCCUACAUCUUGUUCUGGGUAAAAAUAAAACAAAAGAUAAAGGUGACAAUAUUCAGAAAAAGAGCUGCUCACAUGGCCACGACCAACAAGUUAUCAAAUUCCCAGGAGCCUUCAGUAUUAUAGCAAUAGAUAAAAGAUAUCUUUUUGUCUUAGUCGGGGUUUCUAUUCCUGCACAAACAUCAUGACCAAGAAGCAAGUUGGGGAGGAAAGGGUUUAUUCGGCUUACACUUCCACAUUGCUGUUCAUCACCAAGGAAGUCAGGACUGGAACUCAAGCAGGUCAGAAAGCAGGAGCUAAUGCAGAAGCCAUGGAGGGAUGUUCCUUACUGGCUUGCUUCCCCUGGCUUGCUCAGCCUGCUCUCUUAUAGAACCAAGACUACCAACACAGAGAUGGUCCCACCCACAAGGGGCCUUUCCCCCUUGAUCACUAAUUGAGAAAAUGCCUUACAGUUUGAUCUCAUGGAGGCAUUUCCUCAACUAAAGCUCCUUUCUCUGUGAUAACUCCAGCUGUGUCAAGUUGACACACAAACCAGACAGUACACUUUUGUAAUAGGUUGAAGAUAUUUUCUUUUUUCUUUAGAUUUAUUUACAUUUAUUUCCUGUCUAUGAGUGUUAUGCCAACAUGUAUGUCUGUGUACCACACUGUUGUAUAGAAGUUUUCUCCAAGAUCAAGGCAUCCCAUCAUUCAGGGAAGCUCUUCAUGCAAGUUAGAAAAUAAUUCAAAAAUAGCUUUAGGAAGUCACUGAAAUUGAACAAACUCACUAGACCCCUCCUUCCUAAGAGAAAACAAUCAUAAGGGCUAAGAGUGAGUCUAAGAUAAAUCAAGCUGCAAACAGAAAGGAUCAGCCAAGCAUCCUAAAAAGCAGAAACCAGCAGAGCAGCCUGGAAGAAGGUUAGAUCAACAGGCCCACAUAGAAAGAACACCCCAAACUGUUUAGCUGCCUGUAGUGUGCUCUAGGUUUCCAGAUUUGGUGAGCUGUCACCCACGCUGGGGUGAGUUUUGGGUGAUUCAGCUGUCAUUGAGUCAUCCUACUUCUUUAAUUAACCCAAUAAAACUCACUGGAUGUGACUGGACAGAUGGCUCAGCAGUUAAGAGCAAUGACUGCUCUUCCAGUGGUCCUGAGUUCAAAUCCCAGGAACUACAUGGUAGCUCACAACCGUCUGUAGUGGGAUCCAAUGCCCUCUUCUGGUGUGUCUGAAGACAGCUACAAUGUACUCAUAUACAUAAAAUAAAUAAAUUUC